UACAGAGGAUGCAAGCGUUAUCCGGAAUUAUUGGGCGUAAAGAGCUCGUAGGCGGUUUGUCGCGUCUGCUGUGAAAUCCCGAGGCUCAACCUCGGGCUUGCAGUGGGUACGGGCAGACUAGAGUGCGGUAGGGGAGAUUGGAAUUCCUGGUGUAGCGGUGGAAUGCGCAGAUAUCAGGAGGAACACCGAUGGCGAAGGCAGAUCUCUGGGCCGUAACUGACGCUGAGGAGCGAAAGCAUGGGGAGCGAACAGG
rnacentral:rRNA from 1 species